rnacentral:rRNA from 1 species
GUCAGAUGUGAAAUCCCCGGGCUCAACCUGGGAACUGCAUCUGAUACUGGCAAGCUUGAGUCUCGUAGAGGGGGGUAGAAUUCCAGGUGUAGCGGUGAAAUGCGUAGAGAUCUGGAGGAAUACCGGUGGCGAAGGCGGCCCCCUGGACGAAGACUGACGCUCAGGUGCGAAAGCGUGGGGAGCAAACGCGAAGAACCUUACCUGGUCUUGACAUCCACAGAACUUUCCAGAGAUGGAUUGGUGCCUUCGGGAACUGUGAGACAGGUGCUGCAUGGCUGUCGUCAGCUCGUGUU